rnacentral:rRNA from 1 species
AGAGAGCGACGGGCGAUAUGUACACACUCCAGAGCUCAUUUCAUAUAAAUAUUUUAUCUUUAUUUUACUACUAAAUCCACCUUCAUAAUAAUUAUACAACUAUUAAUCCGUAAUAAUUCCAGAUUAUUGUAACCCACUACUCCCAAAUUCAUUGACUGCACCUUGACCUGAUGUCAUAGUAAUAAACUAAUUAGAUAAUAUUUUUCAAAAAUAAUCUGACAACGGCGGUAUACAAACUGAAAAACAAAAAUAUGUAUAUUUAAUCGUGGAAUAUCGAUACAAGAGCAGGUUCCUCUAGUAAGAAUGAAGUACCGCCAAAUUCUUUAGGUUUAGACAAUCAUUUACUACCCAGGCAUCUAACAAUAAAGAAUAAUAGGGUAUCUAAUCCUAGUUUAAAUCUUUAUUUCAAAAGAAUGUAAAGUUUUUUUAUAUUAUUAUUAUGUAUAUUUUAAAAUUUCACCUUUAAAUUUACACUCAAAAAAUUAUUUUAAAACAUAUUUUUACUCAUUUCCACCAAACAAUUAUAUUUGAUCCUAUCGUAUAACC